CGAAGGACAAGCAGGUAAAGGCGAAAGUGGCGCCAUUACUCGAAGCGAAAAGAUGCUAAGGAAGAAAAAAGUGAGCAGAAGCUGUGGACGAGAGAUAGAUAAGAGGUCGGAGAGAACGAGGAAUAAGUAAAGAGAAGCGAGGAAGACAAGGUCUGGGUAUAAGAAGGAAUGAGAAGCUUAACAAAGAAGGAAAGAAGAGUCGUCGCGUCGAAAUCGAUUUCCGAUGUCAGCUAUAAUGAUGAAAAGAUGGCGGCAAUUAAGAUGACCUAAUUAAUGCCG
rnacentral:lncRNA from 1 species